UUCCGGUUGAUCCUGCCGGACCUGACUGCUAUCGGAUUGAUACUAAGCCAUGCGAGUCUUUGUAGUAAUACAAGGCAUACGGCUCAGUAACGCGUAGUCAACCUACCCUAUGGACAAGAAUAAUCUCGGGAAACUGAGCAUAAUUCUUGAUAGAUCAUAAUGCCUGGAAUGGUUUAUGGUUAAAAUGAUUCGUCGCCAUAGGAUGGGACUGCGGCCUAUCAGCUUGUUGGUGAGGUAAUGGCCCACCAAGGCGAUAACAGGUACGGGCUCUGAGAGGAGAAGCCCGGAGAUGGGUACUGAGACAAGGACCCAGGCCCUAUGGGGCGCAGCAGGCGAGAAAACUUUGCAAUGUGCGAAAGCACGACAAGGUUAGUCCGAGUGAUUUCUGCUAAAGAGAUCUUUUGCUAGUUAUAAAACCACUAGUGAAUAAGGGGUGGGCAAGUUCUGGUGUCAGCCGCCGCGGUAAAACCAGCACCUCAAGUGGUCAGGAUGAUUAUUGGGCCUAAAGCAUCCGUAGCCGGCUCUGUAAGUUUUCGGUUAAAUCUAUGCGCUCAACGUAUGGGCUGCCGAAAAUACUGUAGAGAUAGGGAGUGGGAGAGGUAGACGGUACUCGGUAGGAAGGGGUAAAAUCCUUUGAUCUAUCGAUGACCACCUGUGGCGAAGGCGGUCUACCAGAACACGUUCGACGGUGAGGGAUGAAAGCUGGGGGAGCAAACCGGAUUAGAUACCCGGGUAGUCCCAGCUGUAAACGAUGCAGACUCGAUGAUGCAUUGGCAUAUAGCCAGUGCAGUGUCGCAGGGAAGCCGUUAAGUCUGCCGCCUGGGAAGUACGUACGCAAGUAUGAAACUUAAAGGAAUUGGCGGGGGAGCACCACAAGGGGUGAAGCCUGCGGUUCAAUUGGAUUCAACGCCGGG
rnacentral:rRNA from 1 species